rnacentral:rRNA from 1 species
CAAGGUCGAACGCUUCUUUCCUCCCGAGUGCUUGCACUCAAUUGGAAAGAGGAGUGGCGGACGGGUGAGUAACACGUGGGUAACCUACCCAUCACAGGGGGAUAACACUUGGAAACAGGUGCUAAUACCGCAUAACAGUUUAUGCCGCAUGGCAUAAGAGUGAAAGGCGCUUUCGGGUGUCGCUGAUGGAUGGACCCGCGGUGCAUUAGCUAGUUGGUGAGGUAACGGCUCACCAAGGCCACGAUGCAUAGCCGACCUGAGAGGGUGAUCGGCCACACUGGGACUGAGACACGGCCCAGACUCCUACGGGAGGCAGCAGUAGGGAAUCUUCGGCAAUGGACGAAAGUCUGACCGAGCAACGCCUCGUGAGUGAAGAAGGUUUUCGGAUCGUAAAACUCUGUUGUUAGAGAAGAACAAGGACGUUAGUAACUGAACGUCCCCUGACGGUAUCUAACCAGAAAGCCACGGCUAACUACGUGCCAGCAGCCGCGGUAAUACGUAGGUGGCAAGCGUUGUCCGGAUUUAUUGGGCGUAAAGCGAGCGCAGGCGGUUUCUUAAGUCUGAUGUGAAAGCCCCCGGCUCAACCGGGGAGGGUCAUUGGAAACUGGGAGACUUGAGUGCAGAAGAGGAGAGUGGAAUUCCAUGUGUAGCGGUGAAAUGCGUAGAUAUAUGGAGGAACACCAGUGGCGAAAGCGGCUCUCUGGUCUGUAACUGAACGCUGAGGCUCGAAAGCGUGGGGAGCAAACAGGAUUAGAUACCCUGGUAGUCCACGCCGUAAACGAUGAGUGCUAAGUGUUGGAGGGUUUCCGCCCUUCAGUGCUGCAGCAAACGCAUUAAGCACUCGGCCUGGGGGAGUACGACCGCAAAGUGAAACUCAAAGGAAUUGAUCGGGGGCCCGCCACAAGCAGCUGAAGCAUGUGGUUUAAUUCGAAGCAACGCGAGAACUUGACAGUCUUGACAUCCUUUGACCACUCUAGAGAUAGAGCUUCCCUUCGGGACAAGUGACAGUGGUGCAUGCUGUCGUCAGCUC